rnacentral:rRNA from 1 species
AUUGAACGCUGGCGGCAGGCUUAACACAUGCAAGUCGAGCGGAGAUGAGGUGCUUGCACCUUAUCUUAGCGGCGGACGGGUGAGUAAUGCUUAGGAAUCUGCCUAUUAGUGGGGGACAACAUUCUGAAAGGAAUGCUAAUACCGCAUACGUCCUACGGGAGAAAGCAGGGGAUCUUCGGACCUUGCGCUAAUAGAUGAGCCUAAGUCGGAUUAGCUAGUUGGUGGGGUAAAGGCCUACCAAGGCGACGAUCUGUAGCGGGUCUGAGAGGAUGAUCCGCCACACUGGGACUGAGACACGGCCCAGACUCCUACGGGAGGCAGCAGUGGGGAAUAUUGGACAAUGGGGGGAACCCUGAUCCAGCCAUGCCGCGUGUGUGAAGAAGGCCUUAUGGUUGUAAAGCACUAUAAGCGAGGAGGAGGCUACUGAGACUAAUACUCUUGGAUAGUGGACGUUACUCGCAGAAUAAGCACCGGCUAACUCUGUGCCAGCCGCCGCUGUAACAC